rnacentral:rRNA from 1 species
AGUGAACGCUGGCGGCGUGCUUAACACAUGCAAGUCGAACGAGAACGGAAUAUAGCUUGCUAUAUUUGUCAGCUAAGUGGCGCACGGGUGAGUAAUAUAUAGAUAACCUGCCCUUAAGAAAGGAAUAACAGUUGGAAACGACUGCUAAUGCCCUAUAUGCCUUUAAUACAUAAGUAUGCAAGGGAAACGCUUUAGUGCUUAAGGAUGGGUCUGUAUGGUAUCAGCUUGUUGGUGAGGUAAUGGCUCACCAAGGCUAUGACGCCUAACUGGUUUGAGAGGAUGAUCAGUCACACUGGAACUGAGACACGGUCCAGACUCCUACGGGAGGCAGCAGUGGGGAAUAUUGCACAAUGGACGAAAGUCUGAUGCAGCAACGCCGCGUGGAGGAUGACACAUUUCGGUGCGUAAACUCCUUUUAUAUAGGAAGAUAAUGACGGUACUAUAUGAAUAAGCACCGGCUAACUCCGUGCCAGCAGCCGCGGUAAUAC